UACGGAGGGUGCAAGCGUUGCUCGGAAUUAUUGGGCGUAAAGGGUGCGUAGGCGGCGUGUCGCGUCGGGAGUGAAAGACCGGGGCUUAACCCCGGUUCUGCUUCCGGUACGGGCAUGCUGGAGUGUGGCAGGGGAGACUGGAAUUCCUGGUGUAGCGGUGGAAUGCGCAGAUAUCAGGAGGAACACCGGUGGCGAAGGCGGUUCUCUGGGCCUGUACUGACGCUGAGGAGCGAAAGCGUGGGGAGCGAACAGG
rnacentral:rRNA from 1 species